GCACAUCAUUUAGUGUAGAAGACUUUUUCCUAAAGGCUUUAUUUGUUUAGUAGGAAGACAACUCUGAAGGAAUCGUUUUAUUUGGAAGUAACGAAAAAAAAAAAAAAAACAGAAGUCCAAAUAGCAUCAUUUUUUAUAAACUUUAAGGUCUAGUCAGCAUGGACCCUGUCAGAAAUUUUCUAAAAGGAUUUAUUUUCCCCAAGAUUCAAGAAGAAAGGGAAGAAGCUGAUACGGGUUUAACAACCUUCUGUCCUUGUUGUCGUCCAGAUUUAUUUGGGGUGUUCAACUUAUUUUGGAAGCCUUACAUGUAUGUGAAACUUCGUCCUGUGCAGAGGCAGAUGGAUGAAAUGGGAAUACCAUAUGAUCCAUAUUAUUUGAAACAAUAUGUUUGUGAUUGCAUGUGUCAUAGGCGGCCAAAUUUAGCAUAUUGCAAGUAAAUAAAUAAAGAAGUAAUUUUCCAGACGAUAUUAUAUACGAAGACUGAGGCCGUGUGGAGGAUAUAUAUCUACCUUUUUAAUAGAUUUUAAGCAAGUAUUGCGUAUGUGCUGCAGAUAAUAGUUCACUAUUCAAUACCUAAAAACAUAUAAUAAAAGUUUGACCAAUGUGCAACAUUUUAGUUUUCAUUACCUGAACAUGCUGAAUAUUC